rnacentral:rRNA from 1 species
AGGGCUUAAACACAUGCAAAGUCGAGCGCCCCUUACGGGGGAGCGGCAGACGGGUGAGUAACGCGUGGGAAUUUUCCCUUUUGCUACGGAAUAACGCAGGGAAACUUGUGCUAAUACCGUAUGUGUCCUUCGGGAGAAAGAUUUAUCGGCAAGAGAUGAGCCCGCGUUGGAUUAGCUAGUUGGUGGGGUAAAGGCCUACCAAGGCGACGAUCCAUAGCUGGUCUGAGAGGAUGAUCAGCCACAUUGGGACUGAGACACGGCCCAAACUCCUACGGGAGGCAGCAGUGGGGAAUAUUGGACAAUGGGCGCAAGCCUGAUCCAGCCAUGCCGCGUGAGUGAUGAAGGCCCUAGGGUUGUAAAGCUCUUUCACCGGAGAAGAUAAUGACGGUAUCCGGAGAAGAAGCCCCGGCUAACUUCGUGCC